rnacentral:tRNA from 1 species
GUUACGCUAUCGCGUUAGAGCGUUAGACUUUUAAUCUAACGGUCAGGGGUUCGAGUCCCCUAC